UACGAAGGGGGCUAGCGUUGCUCGGAAUCACUGGGCGUAAAGCGCACGUAGGCGGAUUGUUAAGUCAGGGGUGAAAUCCUGGAGCUCAACUCCAGAACUGCCUUUGAUACUGGCGAUCUCGAGUCCGGGAGAGGUGAGUGGAACUGCGAGUGUAGAGGUGAAAUUCGUAGAUAUUAGGAAGAACACCGGUGGCGAAGGCGGGUCACUGGGCCGAUAC
rnacentral:rRNA from 1 species